rfam:Triticum aestivum genome assembly, contig: Triticum_aestivum_CS42_TGACv1_scaffold_003123_1AL
CUAGUACUCCCUCUGUCUGAAAAUAUUUGUCUUAAAAAUGGAUAAAACGGAUGUAUCUAUAAUUAAAAUAAAUCUAAAUACAACCAUUUCUAAAAUAAGUAUUUCCGGACAGAGAAAGUAUUCG